UGUCAUUUUAUCUGUCAUGUCCCUGUCCACAGUCUGAAGUCAGCAACACCCAUGUCCCCUCUAUUGCACUAGUGCAACACCCACACCAAACCAAUUAUCUUAGCAACUCAUUCUUAUAUCUUUUCAACUUCUCUACAUUGGAAUCUUUUAUUAAUUUCAAAAAUAACAAUACUAACUGCAAUAAUUUGACCUAUUACUAUAUGUAUAUACUAAAAGCUACAGCUUGACGAUUCAUUAAAUUCAAAUUCCUUGUUCUUAGACCUCAACUGAAAACUAAUUCAAACUAGAUGAUCUACACUUAUCUAACUAAGCCUUCAUUCGAAAGGAACCUGGCCCAAUAAUCAUGUACGCUGCUGUAGAUAUCUCAAAGCUACUACCUCUAUGUACAAAUUUCACAAGAAACCAAGAAUAUAGCACUCACCGGUCUCUCCAACGAUGAAGGCGCCUGCAUGCGGGAGACAGGUUGCUGAAAACAAAAAAAUAUGUACAUACGUAUGUACAAGCUUUCCAGCGAGUACGGGAAAAUAUGUGUUUAUCAUAGAUGGAGCAUAUUUGGGUCUACAAUGACAAAUGUCGAAGUGUCAAACUCAUUGGGACCACGCGCUUUGAUACGACACCUUUUGGAGGACAAAUUCUUUAGAUCUAAAUUAAAAUGGAUUCUCGAUUAAAAUAAAAAAACUACAAUUCAAUUCAACGGAACAGCUUCGCGGAAAACUCAACAAUAUAUGGGGGUAAGAAAAAAAAUAGUAAUAACUGCUACUAAACUAACCAAAAAACGGUAUGGAGAAAAAUUAAAACUUAGAUAUAGGAAUUCAUGCAAAG